CAUCGCCUGUUGCCUGACCGCUACGGCGGUCAGGUCCGUGCGAUUUUUAUCUGGUCGUGCCGCUGGCCCCGUCAGGCCACCGCCACGCGCAAUGAGGAUACCGCCGGGCAUGCCCGGGUCUGGUCCAGCGCAGUUUCCCCGCUGAUCGGCGAGAGCCUUCGGCGAGGCGACGUAGAUAGCACGAUGCGACG
rnacentral:ncRNA from 13 species